AUAUAGGUUCGACAAACAUCUGCGAGACCAUGAGAUUGUGACUAAGGAAGUCAAAAGAGUACGGUGGAAAAGCAAGAAAUGAGGCGACAAGUUCAACAAUUUACGAACUUCAGCACCAGAAGUGCCACCGAUUCUUCAUCGAGCUUGUUGAAAGCAAAGAAAUGGGAUGCGUUGGUGAUUGGGGGCGGCCACAACGGCCUCACUGCUGCGGCCUACCUCGCUAAAUCCGGCCUCUCCGUCGCCGUUCUCGAGCGCCGUCACCUUAUCGGCGGAGCAGCUGUCACUGAAGAACUCAUUCCCGGCUUUAAGUUCUCUCGCUGCAGCUACCUGCAAAGCCUCCUCCGUCCUUCCGUCAUAAAGGAGUUGGAGUUGAAGAGGCAUGGAUUGAAGCUACUGAAGAGGAAUCCGUCGUCGUUUACCCCUUGUCUAGACGGGCGUUAUCUUUUGCUCGGCCCUGAUAAGGAGCUAAACCAUGCUGAAAUUUCGAAGUUCUCCAAGAAGGAUGCUGAGGCUUACCCCAGGUUUGAGCAUCAGCUGGAGAACUUCUGUAAGUUCAUGGAUCCACUUAUUGAUUCCUCCCCUCCUGAAACUCUUCAACGUGCAUCAUCUAUCAAAACUCAUAUGAAGGAUAGGUUAGACAAAUCUGCGUUUUGGGCUCAUUGCAUGCGAAGAGCUGUUUCCAUGGGCCAAAGAGAGAUGGUGGAUUUUAUGGAUCUUUUGCUCUCUCCAGCCUCAAAGGUUCUAAAUAACUGGUUUGAGACUGAAGUCCUGAAGGCAACACUUGCAACAGAUGCAGUAAUAGGAACCACGGCAAGUGUCCAUACACCAGGAACUGGCUAUGUUUUGCUUCAUCACAUCAUGGGAGAAACUGAUGGUGAUCGUGGAAUUUGGUCAUAUGUUGAAGGUGGAAUGGGUUCCGUGUCUUUGGCUGUUGGUAGUGCAGCACAGGAGGCGGGUGCUACAAUAGUGACUAAAGCUGAGGUCUCAAAAUUGCUAAUUGGUGAUUCAGGAAGAGUAGACGGGGUGUUGCUUUCUGAUGGAACUGAAGUGCAGUCUUCUGUUGUUUUAUCAAAUGCUACUCCAUAUAAAACUUUUAUGGAAUUAGUGCCAGAACAUGUGCUUCCUGAUGACUUUCUUCAGGCAAUCAAGUGUUCUGAUUACAGCUCUGCGGCUACAAAAAUUAACUUGGCUGUUGAGCGAGUGCCACAAUUUCAGUGCUGCAAGAUUAAUCAUCCUAAUGCUGGUCCUCAGCAUAUGGGUACCAUCCAUAUUGGUUCAGAGAGCAUGGAAGAGGUUGAUUCAGCCUGUCAAGAAGCUGUAAAUGGUUUUCCCUCUAAAAGACCUAUCAUUGAGAUGACAAUCCCUUCUGUCUUGGACAAGACUAUCUCUCCCCAUGGUAAGCAUAUCAUCAACUUAUUUAUUCAGUACACACCUUAUAAACCUUUGGAUGGCAGUUGGGAAGACCCUGCAUAUAGGGAAUCAUUUGCACAAAGAUGCUUCUCCUUAAUUGAUGAUUAUGCCCCUGGCUUUAGCUCGUCAAUUCUUGGAUAUGACAUGUUGACUCCACCAGAUCUUGAGAGAGAAAUUGGUUUGACAGGUUUCACUUUUGAGUUUCAACAUAUUGUUUGGGAGAAGCUGCAGAGACUAUGCAGCACUGAUACCCGUUCUCUAUACCCAUAUGUUGACAUUAUAUCCCCAUACAAGAUUCUAAAUUAAAUUAAGAAAACAGCUUAGUCACUCAGGGAGGACAGUCAUAGAGAAUGCAUUUGAACUAUUUGGCUUGAUUUUUCUUUCUACCUGAUUAAUACAUGGAGGAAAUAUUUUUCACGGUGCCAUGGGGUUGGAUUCUUUGUUCCUUAUGCGACCUGUUAAAGGAUGGUCGAAUUACAGGACUCCAGUACAAGGUCUAUACUUAUGUGGAAGUGGAGCUCAUCCUGGGGGAGGCGUGAUGGGUGCUGCCGGUCGUAAUGCUGCAGGCACAGUCAUUCAAGACUGGAAGUAGAUGGCUUGAUUGAUCUCCUAUAUUCAUUUCAAGGCAUCACAGAUGGAAAAUCAUUGCAUCCAUCAUUUUUUGGCCUAGGAAGCUUAUUUUCCACUUGUAGAUUAGCGGGUGAACAGUGGCUACUUUACCUUUCUUUGUUUCCUGUCGUAAUAGGACAAAACCUUUUCGACACCCUGAAAUCUGAAGAGUUCCAUCUCGGCCAAAUUAAGGGCGAGUGGCUUAUUUUUUUUCCCUUGUGCAAAUUGCAGACAAUUGCUUUCUGAAAAAUAUAGCAUGCAAAUGUGCUUUUGCAGAGC